UUUCCGUAGGUGAACCUGCGGGAAGGAUCAUUAUUGAAUUCAUCUACUGGGGUUGUUGCUGGUUCCUUUUGGUUCAAGUGCACGCCUGGUUCUUGAUCUCUUUCCACCUGUGCACUUUUGUAGGCUAGUCUGCGUCUUGGUUGAUUGUCUGUUGCUCAAUAUCUUGCUUUUGUGAGACGUUGGAUUGGAGGAGUGAACUUCUUAGUUCUUCCUCUAGGACUUUCAGCUUAGCAUGAUUAGCUCUACGUUUUUUUACAAACCCAUUUGCAUGUCUAGAAAGUCCAUUACUGGUCGGAAGACCUUUAAUCUUUACACAACUAUUGACAACGGAUCUCUUGGCUCACGCAUCGAUGAAGAACGCAGCGAAAUGCGAUAAGUAAUGUGAAUUGCAGAUUUCAGUGAAUCAUCGAAUCUUUGAACGCACCUUGCACCUUCUGGUAUUCCGGAAGGUACAUCUGUUUGAGUGUCAUUAAUCUCUCAACUCUACCAUUCUUUUUGAGUGUGUAUGGGUUGGAUGUGAAGGUUGCAGGCUGCGAAGCCAGCUCCUUUGAAAUGCAUUAGCUGGGAACUAGUACAUCGUUUCAAGUGCUUUGAUGCUUGAAGACCUCCUGGUGAGAUAAUGGUCUACGCCGUUGGUUUAGUCAUUGCACAUAUUUGGACUUUGGAUUGUGCCUGCUUCUAACUGUCUCAUUGCGAGACUAGUCCGCUACAGGGCUACU
rnacentral:rRNA from 1 species